ACGGCUCAGUAACACGUGGACAACCUACCCUGAGGUCGGGGAUAAACCCGGGAAACUGGGUAUAAUACCCGAUAGAUCUAGAUCGCUGGAAUGCUUUUAGGUCUAAAGUUCCGACGCCUCAGGAUGGGUCUGCGGCCUAUCAGGGUAGUAGUGGGUGUAAAGUACCUACUAGCCUACGACGGGUACGGGUUGUGAGAGCAAGAGCCCGGAGAUGGAUUCUGAGACACGAAUCCAGGCCCUACGGGGUGCAGCAGGCGCGAAACCCUUACAAUGCUGGCAACAGCGAUAAGGGGACCUCGAGUGCUACGAUACAAUCGUGGCUGUCUAGUUGCCUAAAAAGCAAUUGAUAGCAAGGGCCGGGCAAGACCGGUGCCAGCCGCCGCGGUAACACCGGCGGCUCGAGUGGUAACCGCUAUUAUUGGGUCUAAAGGGUCUGUAGCCGGCUUAGUUAGUCUCUUGAGAAAUCUGGCCGCUCAACGGUCAGGCGUUCAGGGGAUACUGCUAAAGCUCGAGACCGGGAGAGGUGAGAGGUACUUCAGGGGUAGGGGUGAAAUCUUGUAAUCCUUGAAGGACCACCAGUGGCGAAGGCGUCUCACCAGAACGGAUCUGACGGCAAGGGACGAAAGCUAGGGGCACGAACCGGAUUAGAUACCCGGGUAGUCCUAGCCGUAAACGAUACUCGCUAGGUGUCGGCCACGGUGCGACCGUGGUCGGUGCCGUAGGGAAGCCGUGAAGCGAGCCACCUGGGAAGUACGGCCGCAAGGCUGAAACUUAAAGGAAUUGGCGGGGGAGCAC
rnacentral:rRNA from 1 species